AGAACUUAGCAGAGAUGCUUGGUGCCUUCGGGAACUCUGAGACAGGUGCUGCAUGGCUGUCGUCAGCUCGUGUUGUGAAAUUGUUGGGUUAAGUCCCGCAACGAGCGCAACCCUUAUCCUUUGUUGCCAGCGGUUAGGCCGGGAACUCAAAGGAGACUGCCAGUGAUAAACUGGAGGAAGGUGGGGAUGACGUCAAGUCAUCAUGGCCCUUACGAGUAGGGCUACACACGUGCUACAAUGGCGCAUACAAAGAGAAGCGACCUCGCGAGAGCAAGCGGACCUCAUAAAGUGCGUCGUAGUCCGGAUUGGAGUCUGCAACUCGACUCCAUGAAGUCGGAAUCGCUAGUAAUCGUGGAUCAGAAUGCCACGGUGAAUACGUUCCCGGGCCUUGUACACACCGCCCGUCACACCAUGGGAGUGGGUUGCAAAAGAAGUAGGUAGCUUAACCUUCGGGAGGGCGCUUACCACUUUGUGAUUCAUGACUGGGGUGAAGUCGUAACAAGGUAAGCGUAGUGCU
rnacentral:rRNA from 1 species